GGAAGCGUAGCUAGGGCAGCGCAGGGUGAGCAACAGCGUGCCGGGGUGUAUGUCAGCCCUAGUGCGCCUGAAGCCUUGCUGGCUGGUAUGAAUUGUUCCUGUAAAGUUCCCAAAGAUGUUUUGUUCCCUUCCAGGGGUGGCAAGUUAGGGAUGCUGGGGAGAGCUGAGCUCGCACUGCACAGUCUUCCCAGUGUCCUGAUCUUUGUUUUUUGAGAAUAAGCUGCUUCUCAAUACUUCUCAAAAGGCCUUGCAAUGUCAAAGACACAGAUGUGUUUGCUUUCAAGUGCAUGCAUAAGUCUCAAGUCAUUAUGUGCAGCAGGUGAAGCUAUGGUAUCUUCACCAGGUAGUAAGUAAAGCAUAUCUCAGAAAAUAAUUAAUGUUAGGGAUUUGUGUUCAAGGCCGCUUAGCUUUUCAUCUCAAGCUUUAGAAAGUUGAAUUGUUAGCAAUGCAGUGAAAGAUGGACACAUUCUGAAUGGGUUAUGGAAGCUUGCUUUUAAAACAUUUGGCUUCCCGUAUCAAAACCCUUCUCUUUCUGUACACAAAGCACCGUGUCCUAUGAUGCUGUAAGUCAUUGAAGCCUGCAGGAGCAAACACUUAAAAGUUACCACUGCUCGCACCUAUAAAGUAACUACUUCUUGGUGUCUUAGGGUCCUUAACGCCUUUAAUUUGCAAACUCUUUUCCUUCCUGUUAGUUUUGCUUGUAUGACCUUGCCUUGAGAAGGGUGAUUGUGCUCAAGGAUGUCAGACACACCUCGCUCUCUCUGUGGUUUGGAGUGGCUGGGGCAUUUGUACAAGGCAGUGAAUAAAAUGCUGGAGUCCCUGCUGAGGUAUCAGAAGAAACAGGUCUCGGUGAUUGUGGGUUUGUUUCACUGUUUCAGUCUGGUUUGACUAUGAAUAUCACAGUUUUCUUUCUGAAUCUCUUUUUGGAUCUAGUCUGGACUCUCAAUGCUUAUGGCUUUUUCUGCUCUGCUGAGUCCUCCUGUGAAAGUAAACACAGAAUCUCUUAUUCAUCAUUUAUCUGGGCUUUGUUUCAGUGUAUACUGAAACUUCAGCUAUUGUUUUGAGACCGUGACAGGGCUUGAGACUCAAGACUGAGCCACUGGGUGAGGUUCUGCAAGGUGUGGUGAGCUAAUCUAUCAGCCUGCUGCUGCCAAAAGGGACAGGAGCACCCAGGGAAAGGAAAGCAGGGCAGCCAGCCUUCUCUUUCUGGAUAACCAGCUCUUUCAUCCCUAAAACUAUGGGUCUUGUCCAACUUACACUGCUGUAAAGGAAUUUUCUGGUGAUAAUUGCAGGCAAACAGAGCUGUAGUUUGAUUUGCUGUUGUUUUCUAGUUCUCAGUAACCAUGAAGACUUGUCAACAAGGUUGCUUUCUGUAAUAGUGAGAUCCUUUACGUUGUGCAAAAGCCUUCUGUUCCACCACUGUCUUUUUAUAGCUUAAAAAAAUAUAAGAAGGAGACUGGAUGAAAUUCUGGAGUCAGAGAAACAAAAUCACUUGAUGGUCACAACGGGAGGAAUCAAAAUACCAUCCCCUCUUUUUCUGCAGCGUUAAUUAGGUCAAGUAAUUGAUGUAUCCAGUGCUCUGGGCUUCUCCAGCGACAGGCUAUCAUAGUGAGAACCCUGCCAGUGGAGGGCAAAAGCUCCAAGGUUUUUAUUUCCAGAGGUUGCUGCACCAGCUGUCUUUGGGCUGAUGGGGGAAGUGAAGGACAGAGAUAGCUUGAUUUCCUGAAGAACUGGAGCUUAUGCACAUGCCUUUUCUGUCAGUAUUCUGCAAUAAUUUUUAAGCUUGGUGGCUGUCUCAGCCAAGUUUGAGUAGGGCAGGUGGCUGGAAGUUCCAGGAAAAGCAAUUGUUCUAAAUAAAAUACUCCAGUAGUUGCCCCACCUAGGGAAAGAACCCAGUCUUGGCUAAUCAUCCUGUGCUGGGGUCCUACACCUGAAGGAGACAAGGAGGAGGGGAAAAACCUCCCCAAAUCUGCAGGAAAGCAGGGUUCGUGAGUUCUGCUGCUCAUGAAACCGCUGGAACUCCCUCACCUUGGCACUGCACAUAAUAGUCUAAUGUAAGGAUAUUGACCUUUCAGAAAAAGCUUCAAAGAAAGGUGACACGAAAUAUUCACCAUGCAGGAGGGUUGGGAUCAGCACCCAGACAGGAGGUGACUGUUUCCCAGGAGCCCCCUUUGAGAUGAGGCUGGCCUGGGAAUGCAGCAGGGACCCGCAGCAGCUCGGGGUGUCACCUCCAGCAGUCCCUGUGAGCCCAGCUCCUCGAGAGCUGGGGAUUUGGGCUGUCCUUUGCUCCCAUGCCAGCGGGGCCCUCUCACUGAUCAGCUGGUGUCACCUCGUUGUGGGAACUGCAUUUGACCACCUUGGCAGUCUGGCCACCCUGGGCUAAGCGUUAUACCCAGAUACGAACUUGGCUUUUCAGGAAGAUUGUAUUGAGUCUCUUACUGCAGAGGAAACUGAAUCCUGGAACUUCUUGGACUGAAAGACAGGAAAAACUGAAGGUCCAAAUGGUAUUGAGCAAUUCUCAAGCCACGUAUGCUUCCCUACAUUGUUCUGGACAGUGGCCUCACGCCAAGCUUCCCUCAGCUCUGUUCAAAACGAGUAAUGUAAACACCAUGAAAAGCAUGGCCCUCAUUUCCAGAUUCUUUUGGCUCUCCUAUGGCAGCCUUGCUUUAAGACGAAAUGGAUUCUCAGCUAUUGGCACCAUGAAAGGUCUCCACUGAAAACUUAAAAGAGAUUUUAUUUUUUUUUAUCUUGUUCAGCAAAGUUCCAAAUCUUCCCUUCCUACCACAAUGACUGCAGAGUUUAGCACCAGGGGACAAAUCAGACAUCGGAAUGUCAGUGUGCAAGUCAUGGGUGUUCAUGCUGCAAAACAAAUAUCCUGCUGAGAGGGAGUCCAGCCAGUCCUGAUCUUUUCCCCCAUACAGGUGUGCAGUGCCAUAACAUUGUUCCCACAUAUGGGCACAAGGCUUCUGUGUUCAGCCAAGAACAAAUCCCUGGACAUGGGCUGUGAAGUGACAAAGCACCUGCUUUAUAGCCAGAUAUCCCACCUAUACCUCUAAAAACCCAUGGAAGUCAAAGUUUAAGGGCCUGUCUAUCAUUUUUGUUGGCAGCCUGAAGUUCUUACCUGACAUAGUUGCAACAAGUCCAGUUGUUUUGCAUGCAGCAAUGCUCUAAUGUUCUUCCCAGCUGGUGGGAUGCCAUGAUGCUUUCCUGGCAGGGCUUGCUGCAGAAACCCAGCCUGCAAAUUAUUGUGGUUUUAUUUCAUAUCCCCUACACAUUCAUCUAAGUCCUUUCAGGUUAAAUAGCGUUGAGAAAAACUGCAGAUAGUAGAACCUACAAGAGUUCUAAGGUGAACACGUAACCACCUAAACACAGGUGUUUGUUUAACGCAUGCCACAAAAUGCCCGAACGCCCCAGUAACUGCAAAGGUUUUUUUUCGUGGUCGUUAUUAAAUAAACAAUUUCAUAUUAAGAAUCGCUGAGUCUGCCGGGCGUUGCACUCCGCUGGGGGCACAUGAUUUUACACAUGGAUUCCGUGGAAGGCUUUGCGGGCCGAGAGGCGCUGCGGGAGGC